CGAACGGGUGAGUAACGCGUGAGGAACCUGCCUCAAAGAGGGGGACAACAGUUGGAAACGACCGCUAAUACCGCAUAAGCCCACGGCUCGGCAUCGAGCAGAGGGAAAAGGAGUGAUCCGCUUUGAGAUGGCCUCGCGUCCGAUUAGCUGGUUGGUGAGGUAACGGCCCACCAAGGCGACGAUCGGUAGCCGGACUGAGAGGUUGAACGGCCACAUUGGGACUGAGACACGGCCCAG
rnacentral:rRNA from 1 species